CGCGUAGGUGGUUCGAUCAGUCGGAGGUGAAAGCCCUCGGCUCAACCGAGGAUCCGCGUCCGAUACUGUCGAACUUGAGUGCAGGAGAGGAGAGCGGAAUUCCCAGUGUAGCGGUGAAAUGCGUAGAUAUUGGGAGGAACACCGGUGGCGAAGGCGGCUCUCUGGACUGCCACUGACACUGAGGCGCGAAAGCUAGGGGAGCAAACGGGAUUAGAUACCCCGGUAGUCCUAGCCGUAAACGAUGGGCACUAGGUGUGGGAAGGUAUCGACCCCUUCCGUGCCGCAGCUAACGCACUAAGUGCCCCGCCUGGGGAGUACGGCCGCAAGGUUGAA
rnacentral:rRNA from 1 species